GAUGAACGCUGGCGGCGUGCCUAAUACAUGCAAGUCGAGCGAACAGACGAGGAGCUUGCUCCUCUGACGUUAGCGGCGGACGGGUGAGUAACACGUGGAUAACCUACCUAUAAGACUGGGAUAACUUCGGGAAACCGGAGCUAAUACCGGAUAAUAUAUUGAACUGCAUGGUUCAAUAGUGAAAGACGGUUUUGCUGUCACUUAUAGAUGGAUCCGCGCCGCAUUAGCUAGUUGGUAAGGUAACGGCUUACCAAGGCAACGAUGCGUAGCCGACCUGAGAGGGUGAUCGGCCACACUGGAACUGAGACACGGUCCAGACUCCUACGGGAGGCAGCAGUAGGGAAUCUUCCGCAAUGGGCGAAAGCCUGACGGAGCAACACCGCGUGAGUGAUGAAGGUCUUCGGAUCGUAAAACUCUGUUAUUAGGGAAGAACAAAUGUGUAAGUAACUAUGCACGUCUUGACGGUACCUAAUCAGAAAGCCACGGCUAACUACGUG
rnacentral:rRNA from 1 species